UACGAAGGGGGCUAGCGUUGUUCGGAAUUACUGGGCGUAAAGCGCGCGCAGGCGGUCCUUCAAGUCAGAGGUGAAAGCCCAGAGCUCAACUCUGGAAUGGCCUUUGAGACUAGAGGACUUGGGUACGGGAGAGGUGAGUGGAAUUCCGAGUGUAGAGGUGAAAUUCGUAGAUAUUCGGAAGAACACCAGUGGCGAAGGCGGCUCACUGGCCCGUUACCGACGCUCAGGCGCGACAGCGUGGGGGAGCAAACAGG
rnacentral:rRNA from 1 species